CCAUGCCACCUGCAAGUGCAAACUACAUGCCACCCCAAGCCAGCAACAAAGCAUGGCAGGGAGGAAAAGACUAUGGGCUUCCCGCUCCUGCUCCGCGCCCUGCCUCGCCUUGUCUCACACCUGCCCAAGAUGGCCACAGCUCCCCGACGGCUGACCUGGCAAAGUUCAUCGCUAGAAAUCAAAUCGUCUCCACAGGACUGAUCAAGUUUGAUGAUAAGGCAGAGAAUUACUGGGCGUGGAAAGCUUCAUUCUACAAUGCCAUAGACAAUAUAGGCCUGACAGUAGCAGAAGAGACUGACCUCCUCAUCAAAUGGCUCGGCAAAGAGUCGCCUGAGCAAGCACAUAGGCUCAGAGCAGCAUACAUCAGAAAUCCCCAGGGUGGCCUUGAUGACAUCUGGCGGCGCAUGGAAGAGUGCUACGGCACCCCUGAAGCCAUCGAAGGGGCGCUGUUCGCCAGACUAGAAAGCUUCCCAAAAAUAUCAAGCAAAGAGCCAGCCAAGCUACGUGACUUAGCCGACUUAUUACAAGAACUGUAUGCCGCAAAGCAGGAUGUAUUUCUUCCAGGACUAGCUUACUUAGACACUGCUAGGGGAGUAGCCCCAAUCGUAGAAAAGCUCCUGUACAGCCUACAGGAGAAGUGGAUGUUCUACGGUUCUCAGAUAAAGCGUGAGCACCAGAUCUUCUUCCCUCCAUUCAGUGUGUUUGUCAAUUUCAUUCAGAGCCAAGCCAAGGCAAGAAAUGAUCCCAGUUUCAGAGUCACAAUGCCUCCUCAACCUGCCACAAACAGAGACAAGCGCAAAAGCUUCCAGAGCAAAGUGAAUCAGCCCGUUGCAGUCCACAGGACUCAAGUUGCCAAGUCCAGCCAGAAAGGUGAGCCUGUAACUGACACUUCAGAUCUCACCAAGCAUUGCCCAAUCCACAAAAAGCCCCAUUUAUUAGGAUCAUGUAGGAGCUUUAGAGACAAACUGCUAGCUGACCGUAAACAAUAUCUCAAAGACAAUUCCAUCUGCUAUUGCUGUUGUGCUUCAACCACACACAUUGCAAAGAACUGUGACAAAACCAUAACACGUGCUGAAUGUCAGAGCAACAAGCAUGUCGAAGCCCUCCACCCAGGUCCUUCACCAUGGAAAGCAAAGCCACCCCCACCUGCGUCAGAGGACGGCUGGGAGGGCCGUGAGAACCAGCAGCCUCCAGAGAUUGUCUCCUCUAAGUACACUGAAGUAUGCGGUGAGGGGAUGAGCGCUAGAGGUUGCUCCAAAAUAUGUUUAGUUACUGUCUACCCACAAGGCCAGAGAGAAGCAGCAACUAGAGUAUAUGCAAUCAUCGAUGAGCAAAGUAACAAGUCCCUUGCACGAUCAGAAUUCUUUGAGAUAUUCGGCGACAAAAGCACCCCAUCUUCGUACACUCUCAAGACAUGUGCGGGCAGCAUGGAGACGUUCGGUAGGAGAGUGUGUGGCUACAUGCUGGAGUCACUGGAUGAGAAGACCUGCAUCCCUCUACCAGUCCUCAUUGAAUGCGAUGAACUCCCAGACAAUAGGUCUGAAAUCCCAACACCCAGUGCAGCUUUGCAUCACCCUCACCUGAGAUGCAUAGCCAGUGAGAUUCCCCCCAUAGACUCUAAUGCUCAAAUACUGUUGUUGCUAGGAAGAGACAUUUUGAAAAUACACAAGGUCAGGAAACAAAUCAACGGCCCAGACAAUGCCCCAUUCGCUCAAAAGUUAGACCUCGGCUGGGUGGUGGUCGGUGAUGUGUGCCUCGGCACAGCGCACCGCCCCUCCUCAGUCACUUUCCUCAAGACAUGCGUCCUAGGAAAUGGCCACCCCAGCUACCUCGCACCCUGCCACAGCCAGCUAUGCGUGAAAGACUCUCCACACAGCCACUCAGUCCUUCAAGUUCCUCCACCUCAGCAAGCCGCUGCCCACACUGCUUCUCUGCUCCAUGGGGACGACCUGGAGUCCUCCAUUUUCCACUGUACCGACAAAGACCACCAACCUGCUCCAUCUAUCGAUGACCUCAACUUCCUGAAGAUCAUGGAUAGUGAGGUAUGUCAAGAUAGCACCCAAAGCUGGGUCGCACCCUUACCUUUCCAGGCUCCGAGAAAACAUCUGCCCAACAACAGAGACUAUGCUAUAAAAAGACUUAAGUCAGUUUGCCACACACUAGAGAAAAAUCCUGUCAUGAGGGAACAAUACAUGCAGUUCAUGCAAAAAAUGAUUGACAGUCACCAUGCAGAGAUUGCCCCAGUCCUCCAAGAAGGACAAGAAAGCUGGUAUUUGCCAUCUUUUGGCAUCUACCAUCCCAAGAAACCCAGACAGAUUUGAAUAGUGUUUGAUUCAAGUGCCCAGUAUGAAGGGAUCUCGCUUAACAAUGUCCUGCUCAAAGGCCCAGAUCUGAACAAUGACCUGUUAGGUGUCCUCGUCAGGUUCAGAAGAGAGAAAAUUGCUGUGACUGCAGAUAUUCAACACAUGUUUUACUGCUUUGUAGUCAAGGAGGAGCACAGAGACUACCUGAGGUUUCUGUGGUUCCAUGACAACAACUGGGACAAUGACAUCGCGGACUACAGAAUGCGUGUCCAUGUGUUUGGCAACACACCAUCUCCUGCUGUAGCAAUAUACUGCCUCAGAAGGGCAGCGAGAGAAGCAGAAUCUGAGUUCGGCUCAGAUGUCAGAGCAUUCAUCGAGAGAGACUUUUAUGCUCUGAAGUCGUUUGCAACAGAGUCCGAGGCCAUCAGUGUGGUGAAGCGAGCGCAAGAGAUGCUCUCCCACAACCGCAUUCAGUUGCACAAGAUUACAUCAAACAGCACAGCGGUAAUGGCUGAAUUUCCGCCUGAGGACCGUGCAAGCAGCAUCAAAGACCUGGACUUUGCCACUGAUGACGUCCCCAUGCAGCGUAGCCUGGGUAUCAGCUGGAACAUUGUCACAGACGCAUUCACCUUUCAAGUGCAGAUAGAUGACAAGCCCUUCACACGCAGAGGCGUGCUCUCAACCAUAAACAGCAUCUUCGACCCGCUUGGCUUUCUCUCACCUGUCACCAUACAAGGAAGAUUGCUGCUGAGAGAGCUGACCAUGGGAAAUGGUGAGUGGGACUCUCUGUUACCUGAACACCUCAAAGCAGAGUGGGUGAAAUGGAAGUCCUCCCUACAAUGCCUUCAAGACAUAGACAUCCCCUGCUGCUACACAUCUCUCUCCACCUCUGCAGCAAGCUCGAGAGAGUUGUGUGUGUUUGCGGAUGCUUCAACCAAAGCAAUUGCAGCAGUCGCCUACCUGAAGGUGACCGAUGAAAAUGGACACUCCGAAGUCGGAUUUGUGCUUGGCAAAGCAAAGCUGGCACCAGUGAAAGAGACCACAAUCCCCAGACUCGAACUCUGCGCGGCAGUCCUUGCUGUCGAGAUAGCGGAGACUGUUGGUGCAACGCAUCUGACAAGCAACUUCACCCCAACAGUGGAAGUAUGUCCCCUCAGAGCUCAACCCGGCCGACCAUGGCUCCAGAUCUGUUCCUGCUGCAUCGCUGAGAGAUACCAACUGGCUGACCGGACCUGACUUCCUGUCUGGUAAGCCUCCAGAACAUCACCAGCCUCUGUUCCAUCUUGUUGACCCAGAGUCAGACUCUGAAAUCAGACCUCAGACCACAGUAUUAAUCACUGAAACCACACAACGCAGCUUAGGAACUGAGCGCUUCAAGCGUUUCUCAAAGUGGACUUCUGUACUGAGAGCACUUGCGCUCUUGAUUCACAUUGCUCAGUGUUUCAGGCAAACGAACAAAGACAACACAUGCAGAGGGUGUCAUACCUGUAAGAAAGCAAUCACACCAGAGAACCUGGAAAAGGCAAAAAACAUACUGAUCAAGAACAUGCAACAGGAAAGAUAUCCUACUGAAUUCAGCAACAUACAGAGUAAGACAGACAUUCCAAAACACAGCCACAUUGCAAAGCUGCGCCCACUGAUUGACAGCUGUGGACUUCUCAGAGUUGGCGGACACAUUACACAGUCCGGCCUUGAGGUGAACCGUACCAAUCCCCUCAUCAUCCCAGCUCAGCACCACCUUACGACUCUCCUUGUGCGCCACUACCAUGAGCAGGUAAAACACCAGGGCAGACACUUCACAGAGGGAGCCAUCAGGGACGCUGGGCUGUGGCUGGUGGGUGCGAAGAAAUGCAUUAGAGGCACACUAUUCCGGUGUGUCACCUGCAGGAGAUUGCGUGGCAAGAUAGAACAUCAGCUGAUGGCAGAUCUGCCCGCAGACAGGCUUCAAGCCGCCCCACCUUUCACGUACGUCGGCCUGGACGUGUUUGGGCCAUGGGAGGUCGUCUGCCGUCGGACGAGAGUGUUUCCAGUCAGGAACACAAAUACUGCGGACCACUGUUGACCACUGUUGACCUGUUGAUUGUGAAGACUCAGAACUUCAAAACUCCAAAAUUACAUUGUCAUGGCUCAUCGUCAUCCCAAGUUCACAACUGAAAUGGUGGCAGCGAUGGUCAGCAAUGACAGUGAUGAAGAGGGUGCACUAGGGGGUCCUGAAUCAGAGUCUGACGUAUCAGAAGAAGGGGACCCAGAUUAUGUGCCAGGAGAAAUGACUUCUGAUGACUCCGAUUCAGAAGGCUCAUCAGAUACAGAGCCAGAGGAGCAGAUCCAGAGAGAGAAAGAGAGAGUAAGACUGGAUCAUACUGGAGCGAACAUCCUCCCCCUCACAGCAAAACAAAAACGCAUAACAUCCUGCGCUGCUGCCCCGGACCUGCCCCUGGAUCAAUGGCUGUGUCACCUAAGGAUGCCUGGAUGAAGUUCAUCAGUGACAACAUCAUGACUGAGAUCAUCAAGUGCACCAAUCAUGAGGGAAGAAGAGUUGCAGCAGAGAGGGGAAAAGAGUGGAAAGCCAUCGAUGAAAUCGAAUUAAACGCUUUCAUUGGGUUGUCACUGCUUGCAGGAGGAGAGAAAAGUUGGGAUGUGGAUUUGAGAGAGCUGUUUCUGGAUCCCCUGCAGAAUCCAAUGUAUAAGGCCACUAUGGGGCUCACAAGGUUUGAAGAGAUUCGAAAAUUUCUCCGCUUUGAUGACAAGAGGACCAGAGCUUUGCGUCUGGAAACUGACCAUUUGGCCGCCUUUAGGUAUGUCUGGGAGUGUUUCCUGGUGAACUGCAGAGAACAGUUCAUCUCCAGUGAUUGUGUCACCAUUGAUGAGCAGCUGGUGCCCUUCCGGGGAAGAUGCAGGUUCCUGCAGUACAUGCCCAACAAGCCUGCAAAGUAUGGCAUUAAAAUAUUCUGGAUGUGUGAUGCGCGGGUGCCUUAUGCAAUAAAUGGCACAGUCUACACUGGGAAACAGCCAGGAGAGAAGACACAGAAGAACCUUGGUGAGAAAGUUGUCCAACAGCUGUGCAGUGUCAUCAGACAAACAGGUCGCAAUAUCACCAUGGACAACUUCUUUACAAGCGUUCCCCUGGCUCAGAGCCUACUUGAGAAGAAUCUCACCCUUGUGGGGACACUGAGGCAGAACAAGGCAGACAUACCGCCAAUUAUGAAGCCAUCCAACUCCAGGGAGCGCUACAGUUCCACAUUUGGUUUCUGUGGGGACAUGACCAUGGUGAGUUACGUCCCCAAGAAGAAAAAAGCUGUCAUUCUUCUCAGCACCAUGCACGACGACACAGCAGUGGAUGAAAGUAUGAAAAAAAAGCCAGAGGUCAUACAGUAUUAUAAUAAAACCAAAGGAGGCGUGGAUCUCAUGGACCAAAUGGUCCAAACAUAUACAUCAAAGCGGCGAACAAGGAGGUGGCCUAUGGUGCUCUGGCAAAAUGUGGUCGAUGUUGCUGCUCUAAAUGCAUUCACUGUUUUUACAGCACAUCACCCUGAUUAUAUGGGUGGUGUGUCAAAUACCCGGCGCCUCUUCAUCAAGGAAUUGGCUCAAGAGCUAAUCAUGCCUCAGAUGAGGAGGCGACUGGAGACCAGUCUCCAUCUGCAGAAACACGUCAUUCAGGCAAUGGAGAUGUGUGGCUUACAGAGGCAGUUCAUCCAGCCACAGGAGCCAAACCGUGUCGUGCAGAGUAAGAGAAAGAGGUGCAGCCUGUGUCCCUCUGCGCGAGACAAAAAAGUGUCUCACUCAUGCUCCCGCUGUGCACGGCCCGUGUGCAAAGAACACAAAUUCACUCAGGUGAUUUGUGAAAUGUGCAAGAACUGAAAUGUAUGUAAAAAAUUCAGAAUUCAUU